rnacentral:rRNA from 1 species
CAAUAGCGUAUAUUAAAGUUGUUGCAGUUAAAAGCUCGUAGUUGGAUUUCUGGUGGGCGCAUCCGGUCCGCUCCGCAAGGAGUGUGCACUGGCGAUGUCGCCGGCCACUUUUACGGCGAACGAUUCUGGCAUUAAGUUGUCGGGGUCGGGAGCCGUAUCAUUUACUGUGAAAAAUUAGGAGUUAGUUUAAAGCAGGCUAUUUGCUGUAGAAUACUAUUAGCAGUAGGAAUAAAUAAGAUAGGUACUUUGGUGCUUAUUUUGUUUGGUUUGCACGCCAAGGUAAUGAUUAACAGGGACAGGUUGGGGGUAUUCGUUAUUUUGAUGUCAGAGGUGAAAUUCUUGGUAUUUUCGAAAGACGAACUUCUGCGAAAGCAUUUACCAAGGAUUGUUUUCAUUAAUCAAGAACGAAAGUUAGGGGAUCGAAGAUGAUCAGAUACCGU